GACGAACGCUGGCGGCGUGCCUAAUACAUGCAAGUCGAACGCACAGUUUAUACCGUAGCUUGCUACACCAUAAACUGUGAGUUGCGAACGGGUGAGUAACGCGUAGGUAACCUGCCUGGUAGCGGGGGAUAACUAUUGGAAACGAAAGCUAAUACCGCAUAAUAUUGAUUAUUGCAUGAUAAUUGAUUGAAAGAUGCUAUUGCAUCACUACCAGCUGGACCUGCGUUGUAUUAGCUAGUAGGGGAGGUAACGGCUCACCUAGGCGACGAUACAUAGCCGACCUGAGAGGGUGAUCGGCCACACUGGGACUGAGACACGGCCCAGACUCCUACGGGAGGCAGCAGUAGGGAAUCUUCGGCAAUGGACGAAAGUCUGACCGAGCAACGCCGCGUGAGUGAAGAAGGUUUUCGGAUCGUAAAGCUCUGUUGUAAGAGAAGAACGGGUGUGAGAGUGGAAAGUUCACACUGUGACGGUAGCUUACCAGAAAGGGACGGCUAACUACGUG
rnacentral:rRNA from 1 species